GCCUGGGUGGCUCAGUCAGUUGAGCAUCUGACUUUGGCUCAGGUCAGGAUCUCACAGUUUGUGAGUUCGAGCCCCGCAUCGGGCU
rnacentral:tRNA from 1 species